rnacentral:ncRNA from 1 species
AAAAGCUAAGGUGCCUUUGUGGUUAAAAGGGAAAGUGGUGAAAAUCUGCUACAGCCCCCGCUACUGUAAACGGUGACAAAUUUCAGAGUCCACUAGCUAUUAUGCUGGGAAGGAGGAAGGAGGUUGAACCGUAAGUCAGGAAACCUGCCUGAGCUUAA